rnacentral:rRNA from 1 species
GCUGUGAGCUCGAUGAGUAGGGCGGGACACGUGAUAUCCUGUCUGAAGAUGGGGGGACCAUCCUCCAAGGCUAAAUACUCCUGACUGACCGAUAGUGAACCAGUACCGUGAGGGAAAGGCGAAAAGACCCCGGCGAGGGGAGUGAAACAGAACCUGAAACCGUGUACGUACAAGCAGUGGGAGCCUUCGUAAGAGGGUGACUGCGUACCUUUUGUAUAAUGGGUCAGCGACUUUAUAUUCUGUAGGAAG